rnacentral:rRNA from 1 species
UACGUAGGGGGCGAGCGUUGUCCGGAAUUAUUGGGCGUAAAGCGCGCGCAGGCGGUCCUUUAAGUCUGAUGUGAAAGCCCACGGCUCAACCGUGGAGGGUCAUUGGAAACUGGGGGACUUGAGUACAGAAGAGAAGAGUGGAAUUCCACGUGUAGCGGUGAAAUGCGUAGAGAUGUGGAGGAACACCAGUGGCGAAGGCGACUCUUUGGUCUGUAACUGACGCUGAGGCGCGAAAGCGUGGGGAGCAAACAGG